ensembl:lncRNA
AAUAGAUUUAUAGCCUUUUUUAACAUAAAAAAAAUAGUAUAAAAUCAAAAGGUGGGUUUUUGGAAAAAAGAAGCUUUGUGUUAUGUGUGGGGCAGUUAGAUGGGUUCACCAGAUGUGUUUUGAUAUGGGUAGGUCAAAAGGUCAAGCCGCAUAAUAGAUUUAUGGCCUUUUUUAACAUAAAAAAAAUAGUAUAAAAUCAAAAGGUGGGUUUUUGGAAAAAAUAAGCUUUGUUUUAUGUGUGGGGCAGUUAGCUGAGUUCACCAGAUGUGUUUUGAUAUGUGUAGGUCAAAAGGUCAAGCCGCAUAAUAGAUUUAUAGCUUUUUCUGAGUAAAAAAUAUUUAUAAAAUCAAAGGGUAGGUAUUUUGAGAAAAGAAGCUUUGUGUUAUGUGUGGGGCAGUUAGCUGAGUUCACCAGAUGUGUUUUGAUAUGGGUAGGUCAAAAGGUCAAGCCGCAUAAUAGAUUUAUAGCCUUUUUUAACAUAAAAAAAUAGUAUAAAAUCAAAAGGUGGGUUUUUGGAAAAAAGAAGCUUUGUGUUAUGUGUGGGGCAGUUAGCUGAGUUCACCAGAUGUGUUUUAAUAUGGGUAGGUCAAAAGGUCAAGCCGCAUAAUAGAUUUAUAGCCUUUUUUAACAUUAAACAAAUAGUAUAAAAUCAAAAGGUGGGUUUUUGGAAAAAAGAAGCUUUGUGUUAUGUGUGGGGCAGUUAGCUGAGUUCACCAGAUGUGUUUUGAUAUGGGUAAGUCAAAAGGUCAAGCCGCAUAAUAGAUUUAUAGCCUUUUUUAACAUUAAAAAAAUAGUAUAAAAUCAAAAG